rnacentral:rRNA from 1 species
GACGAACGCUGGCGGCGGGCUUAACACAUGCAAGUCGAACGGAAAGGCCCUGCUUUUGCGGGGUGCUCGAGUGGCGAACGGGUGAGUAACACGUGAGUAACCUGCCCUUGACUUUGGGAUAACUUCAGGAAACUGGGGCUAAUACCGGAUAGGAGCUCCUGCUGCAUGGUGGGGGUUGGAAAGCUUCGGCGGUUGGGGAUGGACUCGCGGCUUAUCAGCUUGUUGGUGGGGUAGUGGCUUACCAAGGCUUUGACGGGUAGCCGGCAUGAGAGGGUGACCGGCGACCUUGGGACUGAGAGACGGCCCAGACUCCUACGGGAGGCAGCAGUGGGGAAUAUUGUACAAUGGGGGGAAGCCUGAUGCAGAAACGCCGCGUGUGGGAUGACGGCCUUCGGGUUGUAAACCGCUUUCGCCUGUGACGAAGCGUGAGUGACGGUAAUGGGUAAAGAAGCACCGGCUAACUACGUG